AUUGAACGCUGGCGGCAGGCCUAACACAUGCAAGUCGAGCGGAUGAAGGGAGCUUGCUCCUGGAUUCAGCGGCGGACGGGUGAGUAAUGCCUAGGAAUCUGCCUGGUAGUGGGGGAUAACGUCCGGAAACGGGCGCUAAUACCGCAUACGUCCUGAGGGAGAAAGUGGGGGAUCUUCGGACCUCACGCUAUCAGAUGAGCCUAGGUCGGAUUAGCUAGUUGGUGGGGUAAAGGCCUACCAAGGCGACGAUCCGUAACUGGUCUGAGAGGAUGAUCAGUCACACUGGAACUGAGACACGGUCCAGACUCCUACGGGAGGCAGCAGUGGGGAAUAUUGGACAGUGGGCGAAAGCCUGAUCCAGCCAUGCCGCGUGUGUGAAGAAGGGCUUCGGAUUGUAAAGCACUUUAAGUUGGGAGGAAGGGCAGUAAGUUAAUACCUUGCUGUUUUGACGUUACCAACAGAAUAAGCACCGGCUAACUUCGU
rnacentral:rRNA from 1 species